rnacentral:rRNA from 1 species
UACGGAGGGUGCGAGCGUUGUCCGGAAUCACUGGGCGUAAAGGGCGCGUAGGCGGCGCAGGAAGUCAACGGUGAAAGUUCGGGGCUCAACCCUGAAUCGGCCGUCGAUACUCCUGGGCUCGAGCACUGUAGAGGCAGAUGGAAUUCCGGGUGUAGCGGUGGAAUGCGUAGAGAUCCGGAAGAACACCGGUGGCGAAGGCGGUCUGCUGGGCAGUUGCUGACACUGAGGCGCGAAAGCGUGGGGAGCAAACAGG